rnacentral:rRNA from 1 species
GACGAACGCUGGCGGCGCGCCUAACACAUGCAAGUCGAACGAGCGAGCGAGAGCUUGCUUUCUUGAGCGAGUGGCGAACGGGUGAGUAACGCGUGAGGAACCUGCCUCAAAGAGGGGGACAACAGUUGGAAACGACUGCUAAUACCGCAUAAGCCCACGGUGCCGCAUGGCACAGAGGGAAAAGGAGCAAUCCGCUUUGAGAUGGCCUCGCGUCCGAUUAGCUAGUUGGUGAGGUAACGGCCCACCAAGGCGACGAUCGGUAGCCGGACGGAGAGGUUGAACGGCCACAUUGGGACUGAGACACGGCCCAGACUCCUACGGGGAGCAGCAGUGGGGAAUAUUGCACAAUGGGGGAAACCCUGAUGCAGCGACGCCGCGUGGAGGAAGAAGGUCUUCGGAUUGUAAACUCCUGUUGUUGGGGAAGAUAAUGACGGUACCCAACAAGGAAGUGACGGCUAACUACGUG